AUUUUGCGCAAGGGAUAGCAGCGGUUAGCUCCCGAUAGCUGACAAGCUAGCGGGACUAUGAGCGUAUAGCCCGACCCUAU
rnacentral:misc_RNA from 1 species